rnacentral:rRNA from 1 species
UACGGAGGGUGCGAGCGUUGUUCGGAAUCACUGGGCGUAAAGCGCGCGCAGGCGGCGAUCUGCGUCUGGGGUGAAAGCCCGGAGCUCAACUCCGGGAUUGCCUUGGAUACGGGGUCGCUUGAGGAUCGGAGAGGCAAGGGGAAUUCCACGUGUAGCGGUGAAAUGCGUAGAGAUGUGGAGGAACACCUGUGGCGAAGGCGCCUUGCUGUCCGAUUUCUGACGCUGAGGCGCGAAAGCGUGGGGAGCAAACAGG